UUUUUAUCCUUGUAAAAUUUUCUCUUGGACAAUUCUAAGUAUCAUUCCUCAUGGAUUACUGAUAUCCACUGCUAGAAUCUUCCCAGGCUUCUUUUUACUUACUAUUUCAAAUGCUCUGUUAGGUUUUCUGCAGAGUACUAGCCGCUCAGACCAAGUAUCUGCACUGAUGAAACCAAAUUGCAGAGAAUGAUUUAAUGCUAAAAUAAAAGUAGCUGCGGAAUAAACCCUGCAAAUAUAAACUGUGAUCCAAAUCCAGGAAAUAGAAGUUUGAAUAAAGUUAAAUAACUUCUGAGCUCUUAGCAAGGGUUGACAUGCCCUACUGAAAUUAUUUGAGUACAUCUUCAGGCCAACAGUAGCUUCCUUAAAACAAACAAAUGUAAUAAUAAUAAUUAAAAUAAAAAAAAAAAAAAAAAAGGCAGCUCUGUGUUUAGAUUCUUUACCGCAUGCAAUUCCAGUGUUAGCUCCUAAUACUGAAUGCCAUUACCAGGCACAUAAAACAAGCUCAGUGUGGGAAUUGCUAGUUUUCUAAAGCGAUAAAGCAAAAGGAAAGGCUCCUUUUACCAUCUUAAAGCUCAGUAAAAAAAUGUACUUUCACGAUAAACAUACAGAGCAGAAAGGGCUUCAAGCUUUAAGAUUUUUGGGGGGUACUGGUGAGUUAACAAAACUUAAAGAAGAACUUGUGUAAGCAUCUGAUGCCUCCUUGCUACAUUGCGAACUCCAACCAGUUUUCAGUGCAAUCUGUGAGGCUUGUGGAUUCCCCAGAUCAAAACCCCAACUUCUUAGAGAAAGAAUGAGGUUGAAGAGAAGGAAGGAGGAGUGGGGCUUACCACAGGCUGUGAGCAUCCCAUCCAGAGUCUUGAAUCAGUGCCCACACACUGAGUGCGUUGUUGGCCUUUUAAACUGGUGUUAUGUAAAUACAUUAUGUUAUAUUUAUCUUAAGCUGCUGCAGUCUAUAAAUAUUCAAGUGUCUGCUGCCAUUUUUAUGAAUGUAAGUAAGACCCAUGUUGCACUAAUGGCAGUUAUGUUUUCAAUCACAGAUGGGGAAGAAUCUCAAGAGACACUUAAAAGCAUGGAGGGUAUUAAACAUCCAAUAGGCAAAAAAUCCUAAGGCUUAAAGAAGGAAAAUAACCAGUUUUAAAGGGAACAUUGCAGGUAACCAACUCUGCUCAUAUACUUUCUGCACCACAAUCACAGUAAGCUGGAAACUUCUCCAAAAAAGCAUAAAUAUUCCAUUCUGUAAUAUAUAACCUUCUGUGAGACAUGGUAAUUUAGCUCUGCCACCAUGUGUGCAUGUACCACUGAGUAGUCAUAGGCAGGGGUACUGCCUAUGUGAGUUGUUCAGUCUCUCUGAAAAACAAUGAAUGUCUCCAGCGUGUUUGUUCUUCAAGAUGUAAGGUUGCUCUGAAAGUAACACCUCCUAUUUAUUUCCAUGGAAUCUACAACUGAUAGAAUAACGCUAUUUGAUAGAGCAGAUUUUCAGCUGUUGGAACUGUUUUCCAACGUAGUCACCAACAUUACUUAAGCAUUUUCACCAGCAAUGACCAAGGGUCUGCAUGCCAUGCUCAUAAAAAUCUGUACCCAGUGGAGGUGACUCAUUGUGCCGCUUGCUCCCUUGUGCCUUGCAGCAAUCAGGAAAGCUGGGAUUCAGCCACCUUCCUGCCCUAGCACCUGUGCAGAAUGCCUUAUUGUCCAAUGCAUGUGCUUUUCUAAGCAGUGUGUGAUUUCUUUCUGCUAGCUAUCAAGAGUGUCCCAUUAGAUGUUUGUAAUGCAGUACUUUGCUAAAUAGCGUGAUUUGGUCAUCCUCCUACUCCUUGCCUGGAAACUUCUCAAAUUCUUUUAACAUCCAUUAGUUUUGUAAUUAUUCAAAUUAAUUAGGUCAUUAUCAGCGGAGAAAUAAAUUUCUCUUUUCCCUACAUGCAAAAUAAUUGUUCUGAUACAGUAUUUCUGCCACAAAAACUCUGAGAUUGACAGGCUGGGAUGGUGACCGUGGCAGAAGACCUUGCAGACGCAGCUCUCUCAUCUGAACAUCCUUUUUACUCUACAGUAGAAACAAUGAGGAGAAUAAUUUACUUUCAUGAAAAUCCUACUGAGCGUGAAUGAGCAAAACAGAGAGAACUCUCCUUAGCUGGGAUCUUCGUGGUGUGCUGUGCCUCACUUCAGAUUGCCACACUGACCUCGAUGUUUAGGAAGGAUACCAUUAUUUAAAAAUAAUUCCAGUAUGCCAUGGAUGGCAUUUGCUAUCAGCAGGGUGCUCAGAGAUCCUACACUUUGAAGGUAAAUACUACAGUUUAAUCUGUUGGGUUUUGUGGUGGUGGUUUUGUUUUUUUUAAUUAUUUUUUUAAAUUAUUUUUUAAUGAGAGAAAGAGAGGUGCAAAUUGAAAAGAAAUCAGUUUUUUUUUUGUUUAAAUGCACGUGGAGAAAAAAAAAAAGAAAAUGUCUUAGAUCACUUUAUGUGGUUUCUUUCUUUCUUAUAAAAAAGUGAACAGUAACUCCUGAUGAUACUCAUAUCCAUAGAUACGAGUUCUACUCAGUGCAUUUCCAAGUGCACUAUUGACCAAUUGUGUUUUUUACCAAGCUCAUUAUGAAUCACACUCACCUGUUGGCAUUUCACAUGCCAAAGUCAUGUCAAAUUGCAAACUGCCGGGUGUCUGCUCUGUAUGGAGCCAACCCACAAAUAAAGCUUGAAAUUUCAAAUGCCAGCCCUCACAAUGGCAUGCAAUUCUCUUCAUUGGUUGCAUCUUUUUAUAGCCCUCUUAAAUUUGUAGUGCUCCAUCCAGAGAAGAUACCAGCCGUCUUACAGUAUUAAGCCAUUUCCAAGGGAGAAACAAAAAGUUGGUCAUAAAUGAUAGAGUGUCAGAAGGUGAGAACAGAUAUAGAAGUGAAGUUCCAAAGAAGGGUGGAUUAGAAGAGUGGUUUUGGAACUAUAUUGGGUCUGACUGUUUCCGUCAGACUUCUGUUUUUAAGCUGUUGUCUGGACACCGAACUUUCAACUGCCUAAUUCUAACUGAAUCAUAAAUCCUCGAGACCUUACUACCGUAUCCUUUAAAGAGACGUGGCUUACCAUGCCACAUUACUCCUCAUUUAAAUUUAAAUUAUAUUUUGCAGGAAGACACAGUCAUUGAAUUGCCAUGAUGUACAUACUCCUUACUGUUUUUGGACACUUGGCAAUCUGAUACGAUUUAUCUGUGCAGAAAACUUCCUGGAUUGGAACAGCAUCACUGUUCCUAACCUGCUUAACAGUUUCUCUAGAAUGAGUCUGGGAGCCUGGGAGAUUUGAAAGAGGGAUGCUGUCUCGUAAUCUGCCUAUUUGUCCUGUUUAGUAGGAAUUGAAAUGCUUAAGGAGGAAAUGUUUAAAACAAAGCACCGCAGAUACAGUGUGAGACAUAGCUGUAUUAAGAUUCAGUGACUGAACCUGACUGUGCUGUCAUACUUCUGUGAAGAUGCAAAAAUGGACCAGCUCUGACAGACCAGUCCUCUGAAAAGAAGCUAAAAUUAGUUUGGAAUUUGUUCCUAUCCCUGCUGCUGGUCUGAAACUGUCUGAGGAAGAAAGAGAACUCAAACUCUAUGGCAUAUCUAGAAAUCCCGUGGACUGGCAUGUCUUCUUUUC
rnacentral:lncRNA from 1 species